rnacentral:rRNA from 1 species
CUACGGGAGGCAGCAGUGGGGAAUUUUGGACAAUGGGCGAAAGCCUGAUCCAGCAAUGCCGCGUGUGUGAAGAAGGCCUUCGGGUUGUAAAGCACUUUUGUCCGGAAAGAAAUGGCUCUGGUUAAUACCUGGGGUCGAUGACGGUACCGGAAGAAUAAGGACCGGCUAACUACGUGCCAGCAGCCGCGGUAAUACGUAGGGUCCAAGCGUUAAUCGGAAUUACUGGGCGUAAAGCGUGCGCAGGCGGUUGUGCAAGACCGAUGUGAAAUCCCCGAGCUUAACUUGGGAAUUGCAUUGGUGACUGCACGGCUAGAGUGUGUCAGAGGGGGGUAGAAUUCCACGUGUAGCAGUGAAAUGCGUAGAGAUGUGGAGGAAUACCGAUGGCGAAGGCAGCCCCCUGGGAUAACACUGACGCUCAUGCACGAAAGCGUGGGGAGCAAACAGGAUUAGAUACCCGUGUAGUCC